rnacentral:rRNA from 1 species
CCUACGGGUGGCAGCAGUGGGGAAUAUUGGGCAAUGGGCGCAAGCCUGACCCAGCAAAGCCGCGUGAAGGAAGAAGGCUUUCGGGUUGUAAACUUCUUUUAAGAGGGAAGAGCAGAAGACGGUACCUCUUGAAUAAGCAACGGCUAACUACGUGCCACAAGCCGCGGUAAUACGUAGGUGGCACGCGUUGUCCGGAUUUACUGGGUGUAAAGGGCGGGUAGACGGGCUGACAAGUCAGAUGUGAAAUUCCGGGGCUCAACCCCGGAACUGCAUUUGAAACUGUGGGUCUUGAGUAUCGGAGAGGCAGGCGGAAUUCCUAGUGUAGCGGUGAAAUGCGUAGAUAUUAGGAGGAACACCAGUGGCGAAGGCGGCCUGCUGGACGGCAACUGACGGUGAGGCGCGAAAGCGUGGGGAGCAAACAGGAUUAGAUACCCGGGUAGUC